AAAAAGGCUCUUUUCAGAGCCACUUACACAAGUCAUGAAAAGGGUG
rnacentral:ncRNA from 1 species